AAAGGAUCGCUACUGUGCCGCAGCGAUCACGUUUCGAAUCAUUGGCGUAAGCGGAUGAGGCGGCGAGCAAUGUGAACCUGGUACCCAGAUGUCUCCUGAGUGGGGGAGGCAGUGAUUCCGUGUGGGGAAAUACGUAUAUGAGGACAUCGUGGCGAAGGCGGCUGCUGGCACUGACGCUGAGAUCCAAAGCGGGGGAUCAAACAGGAUUAAUACCCUGGUAGUCCCGCCGUAACUGGAUACUUGUUGUGAUUUGUGACGUAACGCGUUAAGAUCCGCCUGGGGGUACGGUGCAAGAUUAAAACUCAAAGGCACAAGUUUAUCGCGGAGAACUUACCUGGCUAUGGGGAAACUCAAGGUCUGCAUGGCUUUCAGCUCGUGUCGUGAGAUGUGGGUUAAGUCCCCAACGACGCACCCUUGCUUUAGUUGCACGGACUCUAGGGGACUGCCGAC
rnacentral:rRNA from 1 species